UCCCGUGUGGCUCAGUUGGUAGAGCAUGGUGUUUGCAAUGCCAGGGUUGUGGGUUUGAUUCCCACAGGGGAC
rfam:Salmo salar isolate Sally breed double haploid chromosome ssa23, whole genome shotgun sequence.